rnacentral:rRNA from 1 species
AUGGGCCAGCUGGAGAUAUUUGAGACGCUCGUGGGAAUUGAGCGUCAGAUUUAUAUGGUGACAUGGAAGGAUAACCACAAAUUCAUAUACAAUGUUAUUUAUGAACCAGGUAACUCAGAAGAAACUAUAACAUGUAGUUGUCUUAGGAUGGUUCAGAAAGGCCUGCCAUGCAAACACAUUCUUUUUGAUCUCCAUCAUCUGAGCAUAACUGAAAUACCAAAGUGUUGUGUCCUUCAUCGGUUGUCAAAAAAUGCAAGAGAUGAAUUGCCUGUGCAGCGGAAGAGUGAUAUGUUUGGAUGGGGUUGA